AUGGCCAUGCAAAUUUCCAAGAAGAAGUUUGUCACUGAUGGCAUCUUCUAAGCUGAACUGAAUGAGUUUCUUACUCAGGAACUGGCUGAAGAUGGCUACUCUGGAGUUGAGGUGCGAGUUACACCAGCCAAGACAGAAAUCAUUACCUUAGUCACCAGAACACAGAAUGUUCUUGGUGAGAAGGGCUGGGGGACUCGGGAACUGACUGCUGUAGUUCAGAAGAGGUUUGGCUUUCCAGAGGGCAGUGUAGAGCUUUAUGCUGAAAAGGUGGCCGCUAGGGGCCUGUGUGCCAUUGCCCAGGCAGAGUGUCUGCAUUGCAAACGCUAGGAGGGCUUGCCGUGCAGAGGGCCUGCUAUGGUGUGUUGUGGUUCAUCAUGGAGAGUGGGGCUAAAGGCUGCGAGGUCGUGGUGUCUGGGAAACUCUGAGGACAGAGGGCUAAAUCCAUGAAGUUUGUGGAUGGCCUGAUGAUCCACAGCAGAGACCCUGUUAACUACUACAUUGACACUG